rnacentral:tRNA from 1 species
CUCCGGUACAGGGAAUCGAACCCUGGGCUCCGCGGAACUUGUUCUCUCAAGUUAUGAGAGCGCGAAAUGUUAGCCACUACACCAUACCGGA